rnacentral:rRNA from 1 species
UACGGGGGGAGCAAGCGUUGUCCGGAUUUAUUGGGCGUAAAGGGCGCGUAGGCGGCGAUUCAAGUGACGGGUGAAAUCCCUCGGCUUAACCGAGGAACUGCCUGUCAGACUGGAUUGCUUGAGGCCGGGAGAGGCGAGUGGAAUUCCCAGUGUAGCGGUGAAAUGCGUAGAUAUUGGGAGGAACACCAGUGGCGAAGGCGGCUCGCUGGACCGGUUCUGACGCUGAGGCGCGAAAGCGUGGGGAGCAAACAGG